AAUGAACGUUGGUGGCGUGGAUUAGGCAUGCAAGUCGUGCGAGAAGGAGGCUUCGGCCUCUGGACAGCGGCGAACGGGGUAGUAAGGCGUCGGAACGUGCCCUCGGGUCCGGGAUAGCGGCGGGAAACUGCCGGGAAUACCGGAUGACCUCUUCGGAGCAAAGGUGUGACUCCGCCCGGGGAGCGGCCGACGGGAUCCCAGCUUGUUGGCGGGGGAACGGCCCUCCAAGGCUGCGACGUCUAGGGGGUGUGAGAGCAUGGCCCCCACCACUGGGACUGAGACACUGCCCAGACACCUACGGGUGGCUGCAGUCGAGAAUCUUCGGCAAUGGGCGCAAGCCUGACCGAGCGACGCCACGUGCGGGAUGACGGCCCUCGGGUUGUAAACCGCUGUCGAGGGGGAUGAAGUCACGGAGAGCUAUCUCUCCGUGUUGACAGAGCCCUGGAGGAAGCGCGGGCUAAGUACGUGCCAGCAGCCGCCGCAG
rnacentral:rRNA from 1 species